CCAUAUUCUUGCAAGUCAAAUUGAAAAUUCAAGUCAUCCUUGAUCUUAUCCUUAAUGUUCAUGAUCAUUGCCAAUAAGAGCUUGCAUACGUUCUUUUCAAUAUGUAUGACAUCUAAACAGUGGUGCAAUAAGUUUAUCUUUAAAUAUGACAAGUUAAAGAAUUAAAGAAUAUACUUUUUUUUCCUCCAAUUAAAAUGUAUCAUCUGCCUUUGAUCAUACUUCCUCUUCUUACCAU
rnacentral:lncRNA from 1 species